UACGAAGGGUGCAAACGUUGCUCGGAAUUAUUGGGCGUAAAGCGCACGUAGGCGGCUUAGCAAGUCGGAAGUGAAAUCCCACGGCUCAACCAUGGAAGUGCUUUCGAAACUGCUGAGCUUGAGUACGAAAGAGGAUCGCGGAAUUCCCGGUGUAGAGGUGAAAUUCGUAGAUAUUAGGAAGAACACCAGUGGCGAAGGCGGCUCACUGGUCCGGUACUGACGCUCAGGCACGAAAGCAUGGGGAGCAAAAGGG
rnacentral:rRNA from 1 species